AGUGAACGCUGGCGGUAGGCCUAACACAUGCAAGUCGAACGGCAGCACAGUAAGAGCUUGCUCUUACGGGUGGCGAGUGGCGGACGGGUGAGGAAUACAUCGGAAUCUACUUUUUCGUGGGGGAUAACGUAGGGAAACUUACGCUAAUACCGCAUACGACCUACGGGUGAAAGCAGGGGAUCUUCGGACCUUGCGCGAUUGAAUGAGCCGAUGUCGGAUUAGCUAGUUGGCGGGGUAAAGGCCCACCAAGGCGACGAUCCGUAGCUGGUCUGAGAGGAUGAUCAGCCACACUGGAACUGAGACACGGUCCAGACUCCUACGGGAGGCAGCAGUGGGGAAUAUUGGGAAAUGGGCGCAAGCCUGAUCCAGCCAUACCGCGUGGGGGAAGAAGGCCUUCGGGUUGUAAAGCCCUUUUGUUGGGAAAGAAAAGCAGCAGGUUAAUACCCCGCUGUUCUGAGGGUACCCAAAGAAUAAGCACCGGCUAACUUCGUG
rnacentral:rRNA from 1 species